UACAGAGGUCUCAAGCGUUGUUCGGAUUCAUUGGGCGUAAAGGGUGCGUAGGUGGCGCCGUAAGUCGGGUGUGAAAUUUCGGAGCUUAACUCCGAAACUGCAUUUGAUACUGUGGUGCUUGAGGACUGGAGAGGAGACUGGAAUUCACGGUGCAGCAGUGAAAUGCGUAGAUAUCGUGAGGAAGACCAGUGGCGAAGGCGGGUCUCUGGACAGUUCCUGACACUGAGGCACGAAGGCCAGGGGGAGC
rnacentral:rRNA from 1 species